AUGUAUUCUCAGCUUUGAGAACUGAAUUCCAUGGGUUGUAAUUGAAUCUGCUGUCAGACCCAUGGGGCUCAGUUCUUCAGCUUGGAUAUUUCCG
rnacentral:pre_miRNA from 1 species